rnacentral:rRNA from 1 species
UACGUAGGGGGCAAGCGUUGUCCGGAUUUAUUGGGCGUAAAGAGCGUGUAGGCGGCCAAGUAGGUCAGCUGUGAAAACUCGAGGCUCAACCUCGAGACGUCGGUUGAAACCACUUGGCUAGAGUCCGGAAGAGGAGUGUGGAAUUCCUGGUGUAGCGGUGAAAUGCGCAGAUAUCAGGAAGAACACCCGUGGCUAAGGCGGCUCUCUAGUACGGUACUGACGCUGAGACGCGAAAGCGUGGGGAGCGAACAGG